UAAAGAAAAGCCAAAUAGAGGCACCUAAAUGUUAAUUAGGAGAGUGUACCUACUACUUCUUUAG
rnacentral:tRNA from 1 species